rnacentral:lncRNA from 1 species
UGUUUGUAGUUUGUAUUUUUUUAAUAUUUCGGAGCAAAAAGGGACCGGACUCUUCGCAUUUAUGUGGUAUGCGCCGCAGUAACUACUGUGCGAGGAGAAAAGCAGUUUGUUGGUUUUCUAUUUGUAUCAGCAAGUGGAGGAAUAAGGUUGCAUUAUACUCUAGACCUGUUCUUUUGCCGAAUAUUUCUUUGCUGGUCCAUAUUCUCUCGGAUUUCCAAACAAGACUCGGUUGUUUCUGAAGAGAUUUUAGUAUAGAAUUUAAUGUCUGAACCAGCUCAUCUUGCCGUUUUCUAAUAAUAAAUGGACCUUGGAA